rnacentral:rRNA from 1 species
AUUGAACGCUGGCGGCAGGCUUAACACAUGCAAGUCGAGCGGAGAUGAGGUGCUUGCACCUUAUCUUAGCGGCGGGCGGGUGAGUAAUGCUUAGGAAUCUGCCUAUUAGUGGGGGACAACAUUCCGAAAGGAAUGCUAAUACCGCAUCCGCCCUACGGGGGAAAGCAGGGGAUCUUCGGACCUGGCGCUAAUAGAUGAGCCUAAGUCGGAUUAGCUAGUUGGUGGGGUAAAGGCCUACCAAGGCGACGAUCUGUAGCGGGUCUGAGAGGAUGAUCCGCCACACUGGGUCUGAGACACGGCCCAGACUCCUACGGGAGGCAGCAGUGGGGAAUAUUGGACAAUGGGCGGAAGCCUGAUCCAGCCAUGCCGCGUGUGUGAAGAAGGCCUUUUGGUUGUAAAGCACUUUAAGCGAGGAGGAGGCUACCUGGAUUAAUACUCUAGGAUAGUGGACGUUACUCGCAGAAUAAGCACCGGCUAACUCUGUGCCAGCCGCCGCAGUAACAC